AGAAUCAACGCUGGCGGCGUGCCUCAGACAUGCAAGUCGAACGCGAAAGUUCCCUUCGGGGGAUGAGUAGAGUGGCGCACGGGUGAGUAACACGUAGGUAAUCUACCUUCGGAUGGGGAAUAACAAUCGGAAACGGUUGCUAAUACCGCAUAAUGCAGCGGCACCUAAUGGUGACAGUUGUUAAAGCGGGGGAUCGAAAGACCUCGCGUCUGAAGAGGAGCCUGCGGCGGAUUAGCUAGUUGGUAAGGUAACGGCUUACCAAGGCGACGAUCCGUA
rnacentral:rRNA from 1 species